rnacentral:rRNA from 1 species
CCAUUCCGCGUGAGUGAAGAAGGCCUUACGGGGUUGUAAAGCUCUUUCAGCAGGAACGAAACGGUGGCCACUAAUACUGGCUACUAAUGACGGUACCUGAAGAAGAAGCACCGGCUAACUACGUGCCAGCAGCCGCGGUAAUACGUAGGGUGCGAGCGUUAAUCGGAAUUACUGGGCGUAAAGCGUGCGCAGGCGGUUCCAUAAGACAGAUGUGAAAUCCCCGGGCUUAACCUGGGAACUGCGUUUGUGACUGUGGGACUCGAGUGUGGCAGAGGGGGGUGGAAUUCCACGUGUAGCAGUGAAAUGCGUAGAGAUGUGGAGGAACACCGAUGGCGAAGGCAGCCCCCUGGGUCAACACUGACGCUCAUGCACGAAAGCGUGGGGAGCAAACAGGAUUAGAUACCCUGGUAGUCCACGCCCUAAACGAUGCGAACUAGGUGUUGGGGAAGGAGACUUUCUUAGUACCGCAGCUAACGCGUGAAGUUCGCCGCCUGGGGAGUACGGUCGCAAGAUUAAAACUCAAAGGAAUUGACGGGGAC